UAGUUUGUAAGGCUUUUUCCAAGCCCAUAUGGGAAGAUUUAAAUGAAUAUUAACUAAUUAAAAAAAAAAAAAAAAAAAAAAAAAAAAAAAAAAAAAAUUAUGUCUAAAAAAAAAAAAAAAAAAACAGAGCUACAGCGACAGAACUUCACUAAGAGUCUGAUUGAGUUGAUGGGAAAGCUUGUUCGUUGCUUAUAUAAAACAUAUGAAUACAAAACAAUCUCUACUCUUCUUUGUAUCUCUCUACAUUUGUUAGAUUUUAGGGACGAAAUCUGGAGAUGCAUGUCAUAAUAUUCAUGUCUCUUUAAAUUUGUUUUACUCUGUUUUUAUUUUACUCAAAUGAUCAUAUUCAUGUCUCUUUAACUUAAACACCAAAUGAAUCAUAUGUGUUGUAACCAAAUGAAUCUACAACAAUUAUGUCAUAAUAUUCAUGUCUCUUUAAUUUGCAACAAUUAUUAAAUUUUAUAUAAUUAUAAAUUUUAUUUUUAUAUUAAUAUUUCUUUUUCUAAGAACUACAUGUUAAGAGCCUACCAUUAAUCACACAAAAAUAUUAACUCA
rnacentral:lncRNA from 1 species